rnacentral:misc_RNA from 1 species
GAUUAUAAACCAAACCUGUUCGUGUGUUGAAAGGUAUCGAUCUUGAGGUUUGGAUCAUUAUGUCAUGCCAUAACAUCUAUAAAUUCAACAACACACUCACAAGAGUAAGAAGAAAAACCAAUGCGAACGAAAUUGAUGCCUUUCCAGGAAACCUGUAUUUGAAAAUUUGAGAGAAGACAGGAAGCAUUGCAGUCUCAGACACAGCAUGUGUAUUUAUGGAGUAUGGACAGAAGUGGAUACAAGGAGGUACCGAGGUAAUGAUUAAAGAAUUUGGUAAAGAGAUGAUAAUAACAAGCACUAUAAUACAACAUUUAAUUAUGACAAAUGUAUUUAUGGUCUAUAAAUAUCAGUCAAACUUGCCUG